AAUUCAGCUCUGACAGUCACCGCUCCAGCCUCAAGGAUGAUACAUGGUGACCAGUGUAACACUGAAUAUUGAGAUAAUUUUUGUCAGCUGAGAGAAUUAACUUAUGAUUAUCUUCCUGGCAUAGUUCUAGAACCCUGGGGAAUAAUUACCAAGCUUAGUCCAACUUAGGAACAAUCUAUUACCUCAGAAGGUAAUUGCACACUUGAAAAUGAUGAAUAAUUAACAGGAGACACAUGGCAUCAGAGAGGGCAAUUUAGGCUCCCCUGGACAUGCCUGACUGAGUCUCUGUACAUGUGGCCAUUUCCACUUUGGAUAACAAACAAGUUACUGCCCAGUGGGAGAUGAAAUCACACAGCCCCUUCCCCAUAACUCUGGCUGCCUGUCAUUGCUUUUCAGCGCAGCACGUGUGAGUUAACCUGCCUGCACCGGGCCACUGAGACCGGCUUUGGCUGUGAGGUGGGAAGUAGGCCCAGGCCAGGACUCAGCAGAAUUACCAACAUCCUCCAAUGCUGCAGACAGGCUCCGGGGCAGACGAAAUUUCUCAGAACAUGUCAGAGUCACCACUGCUUUUCUUUUGAGAAGGACCAUCCUAGUAAGCACUUAGAAACGUUGCAUUUCGAAAGGCGGACCUAUGAAUCUGGCUUAUUCAAGUGCUUGGGUCUUCACUGGAAACGAAAAGACACGCUGAUCUCUCAAACUGCCUAAUUUGAUUUUAUCAGAAAUUUAUACAUACAAAAGUUUCCCCGUAGGCUGAGAACUCUGCUGAGAAAACUUAGCCCAGAAUGUAAUUAGCCUGAGAGAAUUAUCAGCAUCGGAAAAUAAAACUGCAUAUGAUAAAAGGUCCUAAUUAUGGCAACGGUGUCAGUUAUUCACCCCUAAUGCCUGUGUGUUUAUCCCAUCAUCUCAUCUGGUAAUGACCGUGACCAGGGCGAUACUCCCUCGGUGUUGCCCAAUAAUGGGCGGUGGAGAUGGUGUAUCUUUGCCUUUAUUUUUGCUGGCACAUCCUGGCAUUGAAGCACAUUAAAGUAAUAAAAUCAGGCAGCAAGGCGUCCUAGUCACACCCACCAUGUUCCCGUAACCCCCCUCAUUUACAACAGACCGAGACAGAAAAAAAAAAUUUUUUUUUUUUUUGGAGCAAUUUAAGAUUAGGCAACACUGGAUAUGUAAGUCCUCUUUUAUGGGCAGUCGAGGCAGCUGGUUGAUUCUUCUUCUAAAAUGCCUAACAGCCUUCAGACCAGUGCCUCGGUCGGAACAAUUCUGUUUGACGAUCACAUAGGUGGGAAAUGUACAAAGACGGCUUCGUCACUGCCUUCUGGGCUGUAGGCGUUGUGCCUUGUGGACCAUCAUUCCACCUUCCAGGUCCUGUAAAGUCCCAGUUCCAAUUCUGGGAAGGAACCUUUUAAGAAGGUGAAGUUUUUACCUGGCUGGAUGACACAGGCCAUUUUUCGGUUUUAAAAGAUGAGUUGCUCCUCCCUUCCUUUUUGUUUCUCCUUAAGAAGGAGCUGCCAGGGUUCAGGAAAAGCUGAGAACAAUUUCAAGGGAAAACACUGGCUUGAGUUUGAGACCAUGAAAGAGACAGAGCAGUGAGGCAGAGAGACCCGUGAAGGGUAGCUGUUCUCCAGACGCCAAGGUAGAAAGUGGCGCAUUCUAGGCACGGGGCUCUUGGUCAAAGUGCAACGGCUCUUGCCCCAUUCAGCAUAGAGUUAUAAGAGGAUUCCCAAGGUUAGAGACACAAGAGAGAAGGAGAAACACAAUGGCCUGACUCUGCAGAACUUAUCUCAGGCUUGACUGAGCUUAGUGUAACCACUAUAAAAAUAAGAGGUUUAGAAGCUGUGGAACAAGUCGGGACUGGCCAAAAUACGUGCUUUUGUGUCCCUGAACGUUCAUCUCCUCCUUCGCCCCCUUUUUUGGUGUGACUCUGCCCAAACCUGCAGUGGUUAAGACAGCACCAUGAUUUAGGAGGGAUCCCCAGCAACAAGUCGCUCAGAGUUUUAUGAGCUCUGUGCUGAUGCUCGCUUCAGGACACAGCCAAGAGGAGACUCAGUUCGGUUCAGUUCAUUUGCUCAGUCGUGUCCGACUCUUUGCGACCCCAUGAAUUGCAGCAUGCCAGGCCUCCUUGUCCAUCACCAACUCCUGGAGUUUACUCAAACUCAUGUCCAUUGAGUUGGUGAUGCCAUCCAGCCAUUUCAUCCUCAGUUGUCCCCUUCUCCUCCUGCCCCCAAUCCUCCCAGCAUCAGAGUCUUUUCCAAUGAGUCAACUCUUCACAUGAGGUGGCCAAAGUAUUCGAGUUUCAGCUUUAGCAUCAUUCCUUCCAAAGAAAUCCCAGGGCUGAUCUCCUUCAGAAUGGACUAUUUGGAUCUCCUUGCAGUCCAAGGGACUCUCAAG
rnacentral:lncRNA from 1 species